UGCAGUCGAGCGGUAGAGAGGAGCUUGCUUCUCUUGAGAGCGGCGGACGGGUGAGUAAUGCCUAGGAAUCUGCCUAGUGGUGGGGGAUAACGUUCGGAAACGGACGCUAAUACCGCAUACGUCCUACGGGAGAAAGCGGGGGACCUUCGGGCCUCGCGCCAUUAGAUGAGCCUAGGUCGGAUUAGCUAGUUGGUGAGGUAAUGGCUCACCAAGGCGACGAUCCGUAACUGGUCUGAGAGGAUGAUCAGUCACACUGGAACUGAGACACGGUCCAGACUCCUACGGGAGGCAGCAGUGGGGAAUAUUGGACAAUGGGCGAAAGCCUGAUCCAGCCAUGCCGCGUGUGUGAAGAAGGUCUUCGGAUUGUAAAGCACUUUAAGUUGGGAGGAAGGGUAGUAACUUAAUACGUUGCUACUUUGACGUUACCGACAGAAUAAGCACCGGCUAACUUCGUGCCAGCAGCCGCGGUAAUACGAAGGGUGCAAGCGUUAAUCGGAAUUACUGGGCGUAAAGCGCGCGUAGGUGGUUCAGUAAGUUGGAAGUGAAAUCCCCGGGCUCAACCUGGGAACUGCUUUCAAAACUGCUGAGCUAGAGUACGGUAGAGGGUGGUGGAAUUUCCUGUGUAGCGGUGAAAUGCGUAGAUAUAGGAAGGAACACCAGUGGCGAAAGGCGACCACCUGGACUGAUACUGACACUGAGGUGCGAAAGCGUGGGGAGCAAACAGGAUUAGAUACCCUGGUAGUCCACGCCGUAAACGAUGUCAACUAGCCGUUGGGAGUCU
rnacentral:rRNA from 1 species